UAGACGAUGAGGUUGAUAGGUUCGGUGUGGAAGCGCGGCAACGCGUGGAGCUGACGAAUACUAAUCGGUCGAGGACUUAUCCACA
rnacentral:rRNA from 1 species